rnacentral:rRNA from 1 species
UUGCUUGGUGGAUCAGUGGCGAACGGGUGAGUAACACGUGAGCAACCUGCCCUGGACUCUGGGAUAAGCGCUGGAAACGGCGUCUAAUACUGGAUAUGAGACGUGAUCGCAUGGUCGUGUUUGGAAAGAUUUUUCGGUCUGGGAUGGGCUCGCGGCCUAUCAGCUUGUUGGUGAGGUAAUGGCUCACCAAGGCGUCGACGGGUAGCCGGCCUGAGAGGGUGACCGGCCACACUGGGACUGAGACACGGCCCAGACUCCUACGGGAGGCAGCAGUGGGGAAUAUUGCACAAUGGGCGGAAGCCUGAUGCAGCAACGCCGCGUGAGGGAUGACGGCCUUCGGGUUGUAAACCUCUUUUAGCAGGGAAGAAGCGAAAGUGACGGUACCUGCAGAAAAAGCGCCGGCUAACUACGUGCCAGCAGCCGCGGUAAUACGUAGGGCGCAAGCGUUAUCCGGAAUUAUUGGGCGUAAAGAGCUCGUAGGCGGUUUGUCGCGUCUGCUGUGAAAUCCCGAGGCUCAACCUCGGGUCUGCAGUGGGUACGGGCAGACUAGAGUGCGGUAGGGGAGAUUGGAAUUCCUGGUGUAGCGGUGGAAUGCGCAGAUAUCAGGAGGAACACCGAUGGCGAAGGCAGAUCUCUGGGCCGUAACUGACGCUGAGGAGCGAAAGGGUGGGGAGCAAACAGGCUUAGAUACCCUGGUAGUCCACCCCGUAAACGUUGGGAACUAGUUGUGGGGACCAUUCCACGGUUUCCGUGACGCAGCUAACGCAUUAAGUUCCCCGCCUGGGGAGUACGGCCGCAAGGCUAAAACUCAAAGGAAUUGACGGGGACCCGCACAAGCGGCGGAGCAUGCGGAUUAAUUCGAUGCAACGCGAAGAACCUUACCAAGGCUUGACAUAUACGAGAACGGGCCAGAAAUGGUCAACUCUUUGGACACUCGUAAACAGGUGGUGCAUGGUUGUCGUCAGCUCGUGUCGUGAGAUGUUGGGUUAAGUCCCGCAACGAGCGCAACCCUCGUUCUAUGUUGCCAGCACGUAAUGGUGGGAACUCAUGGGAUACUGCCGGGGUCAACUCGGAGGAAGGUGGGGAUGACGUCAAAUCAUCAUGCCCCUUAUGUCUUGGGCUUCACGCAUGCUACAAUGGCCGGUACAAAGGGCUGCAAUACCGUGAGGUGGAGCGAAUCCCAAAAAGCCGGUCCCAGUUCGGAUUGAGGUCUGCAACUCGACCUCAUGAAGUCGGAGUCGCUAGUAAUCGCAGAUCAGCAACGCUGCGGUGAAUACGUUCCCGGGUCUUGUACACACCGCCCGUCAAGUCAUGAAAGUCGGUAACACCUGAAGCC